CCCUCCCCCCAGUCCUUCCCUCAUCGCUCCCCCACUUCAGAGAGCCCGACCCACAGGUGUCACUGAUGGUCUCCGGGUGGGGUUCAAAGCAUCGCAGUGCCUUGCCCUCAUUCACACAGCCCCUGGCUCUCUGGCAGGCCCCGCCCUACUGCAUUCAGAGGAGGGCAACUAGGAUGGGCUCUCCAUCCAUGAGGUUCAGCUACUGGAUGAGGCAGAUAAGGGUGCGUAGGGGCAGCAUUUGGGUCCCAAAAUGUGGUUGAG
rnacentral:lncRNA from 1 species